CUUAUCAGACCAUGAGACGGUUCCCCACAAGGGGAUUUGAAAGGGAAUGCGGUGUCGUCACACGUGACCAAUCCGCAGCUGCCCCCGCAACUGUAAUCGGCGAGCACGCGGCAUUCGUACCACUGGGAAACCGGGAAGGUAGUCGCAAGCGGUGAACCGAGAGCCAGGAGACCUGCCGUCAACAGCAACUCAAG
rnacentral:ncRNA from 1 species